rnacentral:rRNA from 1 species
GACGAACGCUGGCGGCGUGCUUAACACAUGCAAGUGGAGCGACGAACCAGGGCUUGCCCUGGGGCAGAGCCGCGAACGGGUGAGUAACACGUGGGUAACGUGCCCCGAUGACUGGGACAACCCGGGGAAACCCGGGCUAAUACCGGAUGUGCCCCCUCACAUCAGUGAGGUGUGUAAAGGAAGCUUCGGCCUCCGCAUCGGGAUCGGCCCGCGGCCCAUUAGCUUGUUGGUGAGGUAACGGCUCACCAAGGCUGCGAUGGGUAGCUGGUCUGAGAGGACGAUCAGCCACACUGGGACUGAGACACGGCCCAGACUCCUACGGGAGGCAGCAGUGGGGAAUCUUGCGCAAUGCGCGAAAGCGUGACGCAGCAACGCCGCGUGGGGGAAGACGGCCUUCGGGUUGUAAACCCCUUUCAGUUGGGACGAAGGUCGGGCGGUUAACAGCCGUUCCGGCUGACGGCACCUUCACAAGAAGCCCCGGCUAACUACGUG